rnacentral:tRNA from 1 species
UGAAAGUAGGUGUUUUGCACAUAUAGAUUUGGACUAUAGGGGGGAAUCAACUAUCCACUUUCAC